AGGAAAAGAAACCAACAGGGAUUGCCCUAGUAACGGCGAGUGAAGCGGCAACAGCUCAAAUUUGAAAGCUAGCCUUCGGGUUCGCAUUGUAAUUUGUAGAGGAUGAUUUGGGGAAGCCGCCUGUCUAAGUUCCUUGGAACAGGACGUCAUAGAGGGUGAGAAUCCCGUAUGUGACAGGAAAUGGCACCCUAUGUAAAUCUCCUUCGACGAGUCGAGUUGUUUGGGAAUGCAGCUCUAAAUGGGAGGUAAAUUUCUUCUAAAGCUAAAUAUUGGCGAGAGACCGAUAGCGCACAAGUAGAGUGAUCGAAAGAUGAAAAGCACUUUGGAAAGAGAGUUAAAAAGCACGUGAAAUUGUUGAAAGGGAAGCGCUUGCAAUCAGACUUGUUUAAACUGUUCGGCCGGUCUUCUGACCGGUUUACUCAGUUUGGACAGGCCAGCAUCAGUUUCGGCGGCCGGAUAAAGGCUCUGGGAAUGUGGCCUCCACUUCGGUGGAGGUGUUAUAGCCCAGGGUGUAAUACGGCCAGCCGGGACUGAGGUCCGCGCUUCGGCUAGGAUGCUGGCGUAAUGGUUGUAAGCGACCCG
rnacentral:rRNA from 1 species